rnacentral:tRNA from 1 species
GAGGGUAUAGCUCAAGUGGUUAGAGUACAUGCUUAGCAUGCAGAGGUCCUGGGUUCAAUCCCUAGUACCGCCU